rnacentral:lncRNA from 1 species
UUUAGCGGCUGAAUCACGAAACUUACACUCUUAAAGUUCUUGGAGCAAGUUUGGGUGUGUGAGACCUCCUCCUUUUUCUUCCCUGGGUUUGCAUUGCCUUCCAUUUCUUCCAUUGUAAGCUCAAGCUGUCAAUGACAAUGGAGAACUAACUUCAUUUUUGUUGGAGAAAAAUGUAACUUAUGAACUUCAUGUAUAUGAAC